AUUAGUCAUAUGCUAGAUUAGCUCAAUUCGAGUUUAUUUGUGAAUCCCAUAAAAAAAAUUUUAAUAUUUAUACUUGCUCAGGUCAGAGACUUUCUGAACUUAAUCUCACGAAUCAUAUAGGACUACUUUUUUUCUACUAAGAUUGAUAGAUUCUAUCUAGAUGCAUCCUACUCAAACAGCGAACCAUAACUUAUUAUAGCCAAUAUAUACAGCAAGAAUCCAAAUAGCUAGGGACUAAAAAAAUGUGCAGUCAAACUAAAUAGCCUCGCAGCGAAUAGCCAACACACCAC
rnacentral:lncRNA from 1 species